AAAUUAAAAAAAAUAUAUAGUGAUCAACAAGGUGGUUUUCCCAGGGUGAGGCCUGUCCAUUGCACUCUGGGCAUGCUGAUCCCUGCGAUUUCCCCAAGGCAGUUCUCCUAAAGUGAGACCUGCCCAUUGAACUCCAGGUAGGCUGACCCCUGCAAGCUUUCCCAGUAUGGGAAACCUGACUACACAAUUUGCUGGCAAUGGGGGACUGUGUUUGUGUUCUCCUCCU
rnacentral:snRNA from 12 species